AUAGGGACUAAAACAGCUGAUAAAUGGACUAAAACAGCUGAUAUAGGGACUAAAACAGCUGAUAUAUGGACUAAAACAGCUGAUAAAUGGACUAAAACAGCUGAUAUAGGGACUAAAACAGCUGAUAAAUGGACUAAAACAGCUGAUAAAUGGACUAAAACAGCUGAUAUAGGGACUAAAACAGCUGAUAAAUGGACUAAAACAGCUGAUAUGGGGACUAAAACAGCUGAUAUGGGGACUAAAACAGCUGAUAUAGGGACUAAAACAGCUGAUAUAGGGACUAAAACAGCUGAUAUAGGGACUAAAUCAGCUGAUAAAUGGACUAAAACAGCUGAUAAAUGGACUAAAACAGCUGAUAUAGGGACUAAAACAGCUGAUAUAGGGACUAAAACAGCUGAUAAAUGGACUAAAACAGCUGAUAUGGGGACUAAAACAGCUGGUAAAUGGACUAAAACAGCUGAUAAAUGGACUAAAACAGCUGAUAUGGGGACUAAAACAGCUGAUAUAGGGACUAAAACAGCUGAUAUAGGGACUAAAACAGGUGAUAAAUGGACUAAAUCAGCUGAUAAAUGGACUAAAACAGCUGAUAAAUGGACUAAAACAGCUGAUAUAGGGACUAAAACAGCUGAUAAAUGGACUAAAACAGCUGAUAAAUGGACUAAAACAGCUGAUAUGGGGACUAAAACAGCUGAUAAAUGGACUAAAACAGCUGAUAAAUGGACUAAAACAGCUGAUAUAGGGACUAAAACAGCUGAUAAAUGGACUAAAACAGCUGAUAAAUGGACUAAAACAGCUGAUAUAGGGACUAAAACAGCUGAUAAAUGGACUAAAACAGCUGAUAAAUGGACUAAAACAGCUGAUGUAGCACAGAUUUGGUUAUUUUAUUGCUGGACAGCUGCUAUCAGCUUGUAAUGGGCUAUCAGCUUGCGUUAGGCUAUCAGCUUGUUACGGGCUAUCAGCUUGUUAUGGGCUAUCAGCUUGUUAUGGGCUAUCAGCUUGCGUUAGGCUACCAGCUUGUUACGGGCUAUCAGCUUGUUAUGGGCUAUCAGCUUGCGUUGGGCUAUCAGCUUGUGGUAGGCUAUCAGCUUGUGUUAGGUUUGUGUUAUAUUAUUAUGCCAACCUUUAGCAUUUAGUUAGUCAAAUGGUAGCGCUAGCAAAGCCUGCUCUGUUAUGUAAGCUAAUUGUUAGCGAACAACGUCAGCUCUAUGUAGAAUCAAUUGUGUUAACUUUAAUAGCUAGCUAGCAAUCAAACCAGGACAGGAUUUUAAUCGUUGGAUGCACUUUUUAGCGAGUUAAAUAAAUGAGCAAUUCAUUUAAAUAGCUUGUUCUGUGACAUUAGUUACCUACAGGCCCAGAUCAUUUGAUUUCAGUGUUGCUAUACACUCCUACAUUAAUCAAGUUUAUAUAACCAGUAAACAAUCUGUGGUCGUAACAAUCAUUGAUUAUUUCCUCAGAAAGCUACCUGCCAUAUUUCCCAAAUGUAAUGGCAAAAAGCACCAACGUUUCUGAAGUGACAGUAUCGCUGCAUCCCAAAUGGCACCCUAUUCCACUAUAUUAAGCUAUUUUUUACAAGAACCCUAUUGGCCCUGGUCAAAAGUAGUGCUCUAUCCUAUUGGCCCUGGUCAAAAGUAGUGCUCUAUCCUAUUGGCCCUGGUCAAAAGUAGUGCACUAUCCUAUUGGCCCUGGUCAAAAGUAGUGCACUAUCCUAUUGGCCCUGGUCAAAAGUAGUGCUCUAUCCUAUUGGCCCUGGUCAAAAGUAGUGCUCUAUCCUAUCCUAUUGGCCCUGGUCAAAAGUAGUGCUCUACCCUAUUGGCCCUGGUCAAAAGUAGUGCUCUAUCCUAUUGGCCCUGGUCAAAAGUAGUGCUCUACCCUAUUGGCCCUGGUCAAAAGUAGUGCUCUAUCCUAUUGGCCCUGGUCAAAAGUAGUGCUCUAUCCUAUUGGCCCUGGUCAAAAGUAGUGCUCUAUCCUAUUGGCCCUGGUUAAAAGUCUUGCUCUAUCCUAUUGGCCCUGGUCAAAAGUAGUGCUCUAUCCUAUUGGCCCUGGUCAAAAGUGGUGCUCUAUCCUAUUGGCCCUGGUCAAAAGUAGUGCUCUAUCCUAUUGGUCCUGGUCAAAAGUAGUGCGCUGAGAAAAGGGGUCCAUAUCUCUGACGUCAUCGUGCUGUAUGACGCUCGCUGACUUCUUCUUAGGUCAAGGGUCACCAAAAACAGACAGUCACUGCCUAAUGCUCAGUCCCAAAUGACACCCUUUUCUGUAUAAUAGUGUACUACUUUAGACCACAGGCCAUGGGGAGCCCACAAUAGUGCACUACAUGCACUAUAUGAACAGGCUGUCAUUCAGGAUGCAUUUGUAAUGUUGCAUUCUAUUAGAGAUUAAAAGUGUACUUUACUUGUUUUGUAUUCACACUAAACAUUAUUGAUCAAUUCCUUGGUGCAUUUUGCCCAUUUAACUGAUAUAUAUCCAUAGAUGGGUUGGCUGGCGAGCUCACAGCGAUGUGUCCAUAAGGUAUGCCUUGUUGUGAUUUCUGGACAGUCAGAUAGCUAGCACGUUGACAAGAAUCUUCCAUGUGGGGAAUUCUAGGUGGCUCAUUUCAGCUCGUUGUAUCUUGUUAUUGAUACUACUAUGUCUUGUUUUGACUGAUGUCAUGUCUAUGCUAAUAUGGCAAAAAUUUGCUAGCUAGCUAACCAACAACUGUAACCAUGUAUUUGAGAGAAGUGCUCAUUGUGCAAAUGUAUUUAUGUUUUCAAUAAACAUUUGGUGACAAAAUCUAGUUUGUCAAAAGUCUAAGUCAACCUUGUCUGUUUUGCCCCAUAUUUGCACACACAUCAGUUUUGUUACUAAACAACUAACUCUUCUUUAAUACCUGAGAAUAUGUGAUGGGAACUUUAUGAUGUCCAUAUUAGGAGAGCCU
ensembl:lncRNA